rnacentral:tRNA from 1 species
GCGCUUGUAGCUCAGUGGAUAGAGCGUUCGCCUCCGGAGCGAAAGGCCGCAGGUUCGAAUCCUGCCAGGCGCGC